rnacentral:rRNA from 1 species
AUACGGAGGGGGCAAGCGUUGUUCGGAAUUACUGGGCGUAAAGCGCGCGUAGGCGGUCUGUUUAGUCAGGCGUGAAAGCCCUGGGCUCAACCCAGGAACUGCGUUUGAUACUGGCAGACUAGAGUCCGGGAGAGGAGAGUGGAAUUCCCAGUGUAGAGGUGAAAUUCGUAGAUAUUGGGAAGAACACCAGUGGCGAAGGCGGCUCUCUGGACCGGUACUGACGCUGAUGUGCGAAAGCGUGGGGAGCAAACAGGAUUAGAUACCCCAGUAGUCC